rnacentral:lncRNA from 1 species
CCAUGUGUUAAGAGAGGGCAACCAAUUAACGGAGUGUUUUCUAGACUGCAUGCUAAUUUGGACAUUAAUUUUUCAGUUCAGUUAUCCUAGCAUAUCAUGUGUCUUUUUCAUAGCAUAUGCUGCCGGUACUCAAUCUAUUAGACGGUCGUCCAUGUUUUUUUUUUCUUUCUUUAAUGAGGUUUUAUGACCUCCCAUUAUACCAAUUUUUUUGGAA